GAUGAACGCUGGCGGCGUGCUUAACACAUGCAAGUCGAACGGACUGAGGGAGCUUGCUCCCAAAGUUAGUGGCGGACGGGUGAGUAACGCGUGGGUAACCUGCCCUAUGCAGGGGGAUAACGUUUGGAAACGAACGCUAAUACCGCAUAAUCUAGUUGGUUCGCAUGAACUGACUAGCAAAGAUUUUAUCGGCAUAGGAUGGACCCGCGUUAGAUUAGCUAGUUGGUGAGAUAACAGCCCACCAAGGCAACGAUCUAUAGCCGGCCUGAGAGGGUGGACGGCCACACUGGGACUGAGACACGGCCCAGACUCCUACGGGAGGCAGCAGUGGGGAAUAUUGCACAAUGGGCGCAAGCCUGAUGCAGCGACGCCGCGUGAAGGAUGAAGGUCUUCGGAUCGUAAACUUCUAUCAGCAGGGAAGAAUACCAUGACGGUACCUGACUAAGAAGCCCCGGCUAACUACGUGCCAGCCGCCGCUGUAAGAC
rnacentral:rRNA from 1 species